GUGCCAGCAGCUGCGGUAAUACGUAGGUGGCAAGCGUUGUCCGGAAUUAUUGGGCGUAAAGCGCGCGCAGGCGGUUCCUUAAGUCUGAUGUGAAAGCCCACAGCUCAACUGUGGAGGGCCAUUGGAAACUGGGGAACUUGAGUACAGAAGAGGAGAGCGGAAUUCCACGUGUAGCGGUGAAAUGCGUAGAUAUGUGGAGGAACACCAGUGGCGAAGGCGGCUCUCUGGUCUGUAACUGACGCUGAGGCGCGAAAGCGUGGGUAGCAAACAGGAUUAGAUACCCUGGUAGUCCACGCCGUAAACGUUGAGUGCUAGGUGUUA
rnacentral:rRNA from 1 species